GGAAAAGCAAGAGAAGAAGAAACCAAAGAAGAAGGCAAGAGAAGCCAAGGGGGAGACCAGAUUGAAAAUCGCCAAAAACAAAGAAGAAAGCUAAAAGAAAAACAAACCCAGUAAGGUGUGAAGCCUUAAACAUUCAAAUCUUGCCCAAACAAGUUGAAGUGAUUAUGAAUGAGGAGAUCGGAACGUGGACGUGGAGUGUGGUGGAUAUUUGAAGAUAACUUUUAAUAGUCAAAAUGAUGUUUUGUAAUAUUUUCGAUAUUACACUCUUAUGAUAUAUGUACAGGAUUGCUACACCAUAUGUUCUUAAAGCUUAUUUAAGCUUAUGAAAAGA